AACAGGAAGCAGCUUGCUGCUUUGCUGACGAGUGGCGGACGGGUGAGUAAUGUCUGGGAAACUGCCUGAUGGAGGGGGAUAACUACUGGAAACGGUGGCUAAUACCGCAUAACGUCGCAAGACCAAAGAGGGGGACCUUCGGGCCUCUUGCCAUCAGAUGUGCCCAGAUGGGAUUAGCUUGUUGGUGAGGUAACGGCUCACCAAGGCGACGAUCCCUAGCUGGUCUGAGAGGAUGACCAGCCACACUGGAACUGAGACACGGUCCAGACUCCUACGGGAGGCAGCAGUGGGGAAUAUUGCACAAUGGGCGCAAGCCUGAUGCAGCCAUGCCGCGUGUAUGAAGAAGGCCUUCGGGUUGUAAAGUACUUUCAGCGGGGAGGAAGGUGUUGUGGUUAAUAACCGCAGCAAUUGACGUUACCCGCAGAAGAAGCACCGGCUAACUCCGUGCCAGCAGCCGCGGUAAUACGGAGGGUGCAAGCGUUAAUCGGAAUUACUGGGCGUAAAGCGCACGCAGGCGGUCUGUCAAGUCGGAUGUGAAAUCCCCGGGCUCAACCUGGGAACUGCAUUCGAAACUGGCAGGCUUGAGUCUUGUAGAGGGGGGUAGAAUUCCAGGUGUAGCGGUGAAAUGCGUAGAGAUCUGGAGGAAUACCGGUGGCGAAGGCGGCCCCCUGGACAAAGACUGACGCUCAGGUGCGAAAGCGUGGGGAGCAAACAGGAUUAGAUACCCUGGUAGUCCACGCCGUAAACGAUGUCUACUUGGAGGUUGUGCCCUUGAGGCGUGGCUUCCGGAGCUAACGCGUUAAGUAGACCGCCUGGGGAGUACGGCCGCAAGGUUAAAACUCAAAUGAAUUGACGGGGGCCCGCACAAGCGGUGGAGCAUGUGGUUUAAUUCGAUGCAACGCGAAGAACCUUACCUGGUCUUGACAUCCACAGAAGAAUCCAGAGAUGGAUUUGUGCCUUCGGGAACUGUGAGACAGGUGCUGCAUGGCUGUCGUCAGCUCGUGUUGUGAAAUGUUGGGUUAAGUCCCGCAACGAGCGCAACCCUUAUCCUUUGUUGCCAGCGGUUAGGCCGGGAACUCAAAGGAGACUGCCAGUGAUAAACUGGAGGAAGGUGGGGAUGACGUCAAGUCAUCAUGGCCCUUACGACCAGGGCUACACACGUGCUACAAUGGCGCAUACAAAGAGAAGCGACCUCGCGAGAGCAAGCGGACCUCAUAAAGUGCGUCGUAGUCCGGAUUGGAGUCUGCAACUCGACUCCAUGAAGUCGGAAUCGCUAGUAAUCGUGGAUCAGAAUGCCACGGUGAAUACGUUCCCGGGCCUUGUACACACCGCCCGUCACACCAUGGGAGUGGGUUGCAAAAGAAGUAGGUAGCUUAACCUUCGGGAGGGCGCUUACCACUUUGUGAUUCAUGACUGGGGUGAAGUCGUAACAAGGUAACCGUAGGGGAACCUGCGGUUGGAUCACCUCCUUACCUUAAAGAA
rnacentral:rRNA from 2 species